rnacentral:rRNA from 1 species
UACGUAGGCAGCGAGCGUUGUUCGGAGUUACUGGGCGUAAAGGGUGUGUAGGCGGUUGCUUAAGUUUGGUGUGAAAUCUCCCGGCUCAACUGGGAGGGUGCAUUAGAAACUGGAAUGCUAGAGGAUGGGAGAGGUAAGCGGAAUUCCUGGUGUAGCGGUGAAAUGCGUAGAUAUCAGGAGGAACACCAGUGGCGAAGGCGAUCACCUGGGGUUGUUCUGACGCUGAGGAGCGAAAGCUAGGGGAGCAAACGGG